rnacentral:lncRNA from 1 species
ACUGUGUGUCCUGCUUGCGCAGCAGCGUGUUCCUUUCUUAGGUUUUGGGCAAAGUGAGGGUCAGGGAGGAAGGGAGGCAGCUUUUGAAGGGAGGGAGGGCUGUUGCUCGCCUUGAGCUGUGACAGGUACUGAAAUUAGACUGUAAAAGGUCACAGUGUAGCUUCCUGGAUAUGUCAUAGAAACAAGGCUGGCAAAGGGCUCAUGCACAGCAUCAAAAGACCUUGAACUCUUGUGCAAAUUUACCAGGGGAUGUGGAAAAGCAAACACAGAGAAGUGCAGCACAGAGAGUGCUGUGGUGGCUAGAGCUACUUCUGAAGAAGCGCUGUUCUUAACUAGAGUUGGUCAUGAAUUUUCUGACCAAAUGCUUCUCCUUAGAAAUUGCCUGCUCUGGUCAAACUCAGAAUUUUUCCCUGGGAUCUAUUGGAUCGGGAAUCUUUGGGACUUGGAGCUUGGAACUGGAGAAGAUUUACAGCCUGACUGUCUAUACCUAUGUCUGAGAUCGUAAAUGGAGAUGGAGAUGAACUACAAAUGCCUUCUCUGAAUAUUCUGGAGGUUCCUUCCAACACAUUUAGACCUUGGAGUUUUAGCAAAAAGUAAUAACAACAGACCAGCAUAUCAGCUACCUACAACAGUGCAUACAACAUGGUGAGAUUGCAAAGGUGAGUAGGAAAACAUAUCUGAAUCUGACUCUGUGGGAUUGCAC